CUGGCUCAGGACGAACGCUGGCGGCGUGCCUAAUACAUGCAAGUCGAGCGAACAGAGAAGGAGCUUGCUCCUUCGACGUUAGCGGCGGACGGGUGAGUAACACGUGGGCAACCUACCUUAUAGUUUGGGAUAACUCCGGGAAACCGGGGCUAAUACCGAAUAAUCUGUUUCACCUCAUGGUGAAACAUUGAAAG
rnacentral:rRNA from 1 species